UACGGAGGGUGCGAGCGUUAAUCGGAAUUACUGGGCGUAAAGCGCGCGUAGGCGGUUUGUUAAGUCAGCUGUGAAAGCCCCGGGCUCAACCUGGGAACUGCAGUUGAUACUGGCCGACUGGAGUGCGAGAGAGGGAGGUAGAAUUCCAUGUGUAGCGGUGAAAUGCGUAGAUAUAUGGAGGAAUACCGGUGGCGAAGGCGGCCUCCUGGCUCGACACUGACGCUGAGGUGCGAAAAGCGUGGGGGAUCAAAACAGGG
rnacentral:rRNA from 1 species